UCUGCGGCUUUUCCAUCACCCCAGGCAGAACCUCUGUUCUCAUCAGACAGCUGCCCCCUAUUCCUCCCUCCCCCAGCCCCUGGCAACCAAGAAUCUCCUUCCCGUCCCGCUGGAUUUGCCUCUUCUGGACGUUGCAUCCAAACAGUGUCACACACCCGUGGCCUUUGUGCACUCAGCAUCAUGUCUUCGAGGUUCAUCUGUGCAAUGGCGUGUGUCCAGGCUCCGUACCUUUCUAUGGCUGAGUUCUAGUCCCCUGAGUGGACAGGUGCGAUGUGCUCACCCCAUGGGCAUCCAUCUGCCUCUGCCCUGUGGCUGCGAUGAGAUUGCUGGGGUUCAGAGACGUCAAGCAGCUUGCCUGAGAGAAGCCACGCAGCUAAUGAGCAGCAGAGCCCGAUUCACACCCAGACAUCUGGCCCCAGGGCAUGUGUUUCUUGCCACUCACUGCCUCAUGCCUUCUCUUUGUACUGCCAUCGUUUGUCACCCAACUGCCUCUGCACCUCGGCCACGCCACCCUUGAGGAUGGGGGCUGGUACCUCCUUUAUCUUGUAUCCACAGGACCCCACAGAGUGCCUUCCCCAGAGCGGUUUCUGCUAAAUUCUGUUUAACAGAGUGUAUUCAUUCUGUUUGCUGAAUGAAUAAACAACCACAUGAAUGCAUAAGUGUAUUUCACAAACAUUUGGUACUGAUCAGGGAGACGGAAUGCUCCGUUUAAAUCCUGGGGUUCCGAAAUGAGAUGCUGUCUUUCAGGAGCAAGCAUACUUUUGUAACAAGGCAAAAGUAAGGCACGAUUCUUUGGCACAUUUGUGAUGUGUCUUUUGCCUCUUGAUUCACAGAUAAGGGUCCUUUUUUGGGGGUGAGCCCCAUCUGCCCACCACACAACUCAGACACACACGGAUAGGAAGACGCCUGCCUUGCCACGUUUUGGGGGAGCACUUACAGGAGAAGGCAGUGUCUAGGGAUCGCCUCUCCUCAAGGCUGACUCCCACCCACACAGGCUGCCCCAGCCUCCCCAUCCCAGGCACUUACACGGGAUUUCUCGGCCAGCCUCGCAGGCAAUGCCCGUUUCCAGAUAUUCUUGGCAGAGCCGGCGUGGAGGAGAAGU
rnacentral:lncRNA from 1 species